GCUGGGACCAGUUGGGACCAGUCAUGGGCAAAAGAAAUGUGUUUUUUUUUGUCCACCAUUGCAGUCUUCCUAGAGCAAAGUGGAGGUCUCUGUCUGCUUUAGGAGAGCCGACUAAACCGGAUCGUUCCCCUCCAUACACA
rnacentral:snoRNA from 1 species